rnacentral:rRNA from 1 species
AACGCUAGCUACAGGCUUAACACAUGCAAGUCGAGGGGCAGCAUGGUCUUAGCUUGCUAAGGCCGAUGGCGACCGGCGCACGGGUGAGUAACACGUAUCCAACCUGCCGUCUACUCUUGGACAGCCUUCUGAAAGGAAGAUUAAUACAAGAUGGCAUCAUGAGUCCACAUGUUCACAUGAUUAAAGGUAUUCCGGUAGACGAUGGGGAUGCGUUCCAUUAGAUAGUAGGCGGGGUAACGGCCCACCUAGUCUUCGAUGGAUAGGGGUUCUGAGAGGAAGGUCCCCCACAUUGGAACUGAGACACGGUCCAAACUCCUACGGGAGGCAGCAGUGAGGAAUAUUGGUCAAUGGGCGAGAGCCUGAACCAGCCAAGUAGCGUGCAGGAUGACGGCCCUAUGGGUUGUAAACUGCUUUUAUACAGGAAUAAAGUUAGCCACGUGUGGUUAUUUGUAGGUACUGUAUGAAUAAGGACCGGCUAAUUCCGUGCCAGCAGCCGCGGUAAUACGGAAGGUCCAGGCGUUAUCUGGAUUUAUUGGGUUUAAAGGGAGCGUAGGCCGUCUGUUAAGCGUGUUGUGAAAUGUAGAUGCUCAACAUCUGAAUUGCAGCGCGAACUGGCAGACUUGAGUGUGCGCAACGUAGGCGGAAUUCGUGGUGUAGCGGUGAAAUGCUUAGAUAUCACGAAGAACUCCGAUUG